rnacentral:misc_RNA from 1 species
GGUCGGCCACGAGCUCCGUCUUCCUCUGCUACAGUCGUUCUGGCUGUCGCCAUUGCCGUGAUGCUCUCUCAGCCCUUCCCCACCACUGCCUCUCGCACGCCUUGAAUGGGCUGCGGCGGAGGCGACGGUUCGACCUUCGGACGAGGAGCGGAGGACUUCCCCUUCGCAUCAUGGCGCUAUGCGGGUCAGGGAAGCCCCCUCGCAGCGGGUUUCGACAAGGCAUGUGGUGCGCACUUCACCGCACCCAGCGCGGACGGACGGGCGUGUACGGGUGAUGAGCGAUGAAGGAAAAGGUGCGCAAGGAAAAGAGGAGGAGAAGAGGGCACUGAGCGGUCUGUCGGCGUCCUCGAACGCGACGGAACGGACGGCACGUCGCACGCAUGAGCAGACACGCAGACGCGCGGCCACACGCGGACACCCAGGUGCGACAUGCGUGCAGACGAGCCGAGACGAGUUUUUUUUCAUCUUUUUUCUUCCGUCUUUUCGUGCCUUCAACGCCUCUUUUCUCCGGAUCAGUAAACGCCGAUGCGCC